AUUGAACGCUGGCGGCAGGCCUAACACAUGCAAGUCGCACGAGUGGCGGACGGGUGAGUAAUGUCUGGGAAACUGCCUGAUGGAGGGGGAUAACUACUGGAAACGGUAGCUAAUACCGCAUACCAUCGGAUGUGCCCAGAGGGGAUUAGCUAGUAGGUGGGGUAAAGGCUCACCUAGGCGACGAUCCCUAGCUGGUCUGAGAGGAUGACCAGCCAGGCUGAAACUGAGACACGGGCCAUACUCCUCCGGGAGGCAGCAGUGGGGAAUAUUGCACCAGGGGCGCAAGCCUGAUGCAGCCAUGCCGCGUGUAUGAAGAAGGCCUUCAGGUUGUAAAGUACUGUCAGCGGGGAGGCGUUACCCGCAGAAGAAGCACCGGCUAACGCCGUGCCAGCCGCCGCGGUAAUAC
rnacentral:rRNA from 1 species